rnacentral:rRNA from 1 species
GUGGAUUAGAUACCCUAGUAGUCCACACCGUAAACGAUGAGCACUAGGUGUCGGGGUCGCAAGGCUUCGGUGCCGCAGUUAACGCAUUAAGUGCUCCGCCUGGGGAGUACGUACGCAAGUAUGAAACUCAAAGGAAUUGACGGGGACCCGCACAAGCAGCGGAGCAUGUGGUUUAAUUCGAAGCAACGCGAAGAACCUUACCAGGACUUGACAUCCCGAUGACCGGUUCUUAACCGAACCUUCUCUUCGGAGCAGCGGUGACAGGUGGUGCACGGCUGUCGACAGCU